rnacentral:lncRNA from 1 species
AAGGCCCAAAUAGUCCAAUGAAUCCCUAUGGCCGGCCAUUUAGAGAUGGAGUGGGUUUUGGACUUAUUGACAAGUUUGCCACUCCAAUGAAUUAAGGUAUAAAUAUGACUUUAUAGCCAAAAUUCAUUUAGGGGUUUCUUUUAGGAAAUUGGAGAGAACACAAAGCUCUCCUUUCUCUCUAAAGAGGCCGGCCCCCUUGGAGGGAUUAGCUAGCAAUCCCACUCCUCCAAGGUCACUCAUUUCUUCUCCAAUCUAACCUUGGUGUAGACACUUAGAGGUUCUCAAUUUUGGGAACUUGGAGAACUAUAUUCUUCCAUCCAAAUCCAUGGAUCUAAGAAGCAAGGAAUGAAGGCCCUCUCUUUGGGUGAUUAGCCUUUGCUUAUGCAAAGAGGAAUCUACAAAGGUAUAAAUUUCAACUCACUUUGUUUUGAGUUGAGUCUUGGUUCACCAAUCUACUAGGCUUUGAAUUUCAUGGUUAAUGUUUUGUUUUUGAGUGCAUGCAAGCAUGUUUCCGCCUUUAAUUGUUAAUUGCAUGCUAUAUGAUGUUGCUCAAAUAAACAUGCUUUUCUCAAAAUUACCUUCAAGUGGUAUCAGAGCCUAGGUCUAGUAGUUGGUGAAUCCUUUUGGGUUUUGUAG